AUUAAAGAAAACCCAAUCGGGGCAGGCGGGAAGCACUCCAGCCUCCUUGCAAGCUUGGGGCGCCUCAUUCUCUCCCGUGCCCCUUCUCCCAGCUGGGUCUGAGCCCCCGCCCCCCUGGCUCCUCCGUUCUGCUUCUCCCAGCUUCUCUGUCCAUCUCCCCCAAUGGCCUCUCUCUACACUCUCUGCCUCAGCUUCCAGGUCUCUGCUGGUCCCUAGGAAGCACUUUGACCUCUGCUUCCCCUUCAAAUGCUGUGGAUCAAGCCUCCCCAACCCCACCAUCCCACCAAAGGGGGCUGCUGACCGAGAGAGCUCACUCAGCCAGAGCCAGAUUCUUACUCUGUCACCCAGGCUGGCAUGAUCAUAGCUCACUUCAGCCUAGAACUCCUGGCUUCAAGCAAUCCUCCCACCUCAGCAUCCCAAGUAGCUGGAACUACAGGUACGCACCAUCAUGCCCAGCUUCAUUUAUAUAUUUAUCUUUUUUGUUUGUUUUUUGAGACAGGGUCUCCUUCUGUCGCCCGAGCUGGAGUGCAGUGGCACAAUCUUGGC
ensembl:lncRNA HNF1A-AS1 HNF1A antisense RNA 1